rnacentral:rRNA from 1 species
CGGACGGGUGAGUAACACGUGAUAACCUACCUAUAAGACUGGGAUAACUUCGGGAAACCGGAGCUAAUACCGGAUAAUAUAUUGAACCGCAUGGUUCAAUAGUGAAAGACGGUUUUGCUGUCACUUAUAGAUGGAUCCGCGCCGCAUUAGCUAGUUGGUAAGGUAACGGCUUACCAAGGCAACGAUGCGUAGCCGACCUGAGAGGGUGAUCGGCCACACUGGAACUGAGACACGGUCCAGACUCCUACGGGAGGCAGCAGCC